CUAGAGACCGGCGCACGGGUGCGUAACACGUAUGCAACCUACCCUUUACUGGGGCAUAGCUCAGAGAAAUCUGAAUUAAUUCCCCAUAACAUUAUUGAAUGGCAUCAUUUGAUAAUUAAAGCUGAGGCGGUAAAGGAUGGGCAUGCGUUGCAUUAGCUAGUUGGUGAGGUAAUGGCUCACCAAGGCUACGAUGCAUAGGGGUUCUGAGAGGAUGAUCCCCCACACUGGUACUGAGACACGGACCAGACUCC
rnacentral:rRNA from 1 species